AGCAGAUACACAGAAGCUGUGAAAGCCCUUUUUUCUUCUUAAAAUAAAGGCUGUGAAGGAAUUUGGCUUCUUUCCAUGUCUAUCGGGAUUUGGUUUCCUUUUUCGGGGAGCAAAUAAAAAGGCGAGAAUCAUUUCUCGAGAAAUCAUUUUCGUUUUGCCACAGCCAUCGCUACGCUGUAACUCUCCUAAAGCAUCAUGAUGAAGGCACUUUUUCUUCUGAUCUGCAUUGUCGGAUCUGCGUUCUCAGCACCGGCUGUGGAGCUGGUCGAGCUGGAGGCAGUGGUGGCGGCGCAGCAGGCGUUUGGGACUCGGCAGUCUGCUGCUUCGGUGCUCCGCUCUCAUGGUUUUGUCAAGGAGAUCCCUCAGUCCUCCAGCAGAGAAAGCUUCGAGCUGGACCCCUACGGCUUAGUCGCAGCCCCCGCCGCCCCCAUCAAGCUCACCGUCCAGGAUCCGCUAAAAGACGACGAAGACGAUGACAACAGCAAUGAUGACCUCGAUGACUGAAGCUGAGUCAGAGAGCAAAACCUGCCCACUUCCAACCAAAACGGCUACACAGCCACUUCGAAAGUGACCAUUACAUGACUUCAUGGCAAUAACUUUGUGAUGAACAUAAACCCAGUUUCUGAUGUGCUAAAUAUCAGUUAUAAUUGUACAGGCUUGAUCAUACCCAAAACCUAUAAAUAACUAAAGUUUAUUUCCUUUUUCUGAAAAGGUAUGUUUGAUUUUGGUCAGUCCAUGCUAAAAAUCGAUUUUAAAAACUACCUUCAGUCUACUAAUACUCCUGAUAUUUUUACUAUUUUUCCUGGCUUUCCAGUUUAGAGGAACUUAACCAUUUUUGAUAAUUAUUCUAAAAAUGGACAGUUAGUCAAUAGUGAUUUAGCAGCAUUUGUGCUAGGAAAAUAUAAAAGAUUAUUAGCUUUCGGGUAAAAUUAAACAUAAAAUUCAUAUUUCAUUUAUUGUCUGCCUGCUGUUUAUUGAAUUAAUUUGUGUGAUUUGGCUUGACUCUCAUCACAAUAUCUUGCAUGAAAAUUCCUUCAAAUAAAAUGUACCCAUU
rnacentral:lncRNA from 1 species